GAGGAAGGAAUUAAAGCAGAGGUUUGACAGGAGGAGUACACGUUUUGCAGUAUGUAAUGGUACAUAAAUGAUUGCAACAGAGAUUUGGCCAGCUUUGCAUGAAGGCGUGGGGAUUACACUCAGGAACGCAGUCUAGGAAUACAGUCAGGAGUACUAGUAUCAUCUUCUUUGAAAGACAAAAUGUGCGUGUACAAAACACUGGAGCAUGUACGUACGCAUGUAACCAUGUCUCUCUCUCUCUCACACACACACACACACACUACAUCUCCACGUACGUUCAAACUGCAACCAUCUGAAGGGAGGGCCUCGAAACUGAACUUCUCUGGGCUGGCAUCUUCAGUUCAGGAUACUCCACCUCCUUGCCCUCCAGUGGACAGAUCAUGCAUGCACAAGCGUUGGAAGCUUUGAUGCACCUUGUGCAUUUCUCUGUGCCCUAGUCCAACCCUUCCUGGUAGUUAGCCUGCCUGUAGAUCAGUGGAGUAACACCUAUUAGUUCAUAUGGCAUGCAUGGAAUUUGCACAAGAUGCACCAGAGCAAUAGUUCUAUCAACCUAACUCAUAUACGCAUGCAACUCAAAUGCCUCACGACCUCAUAUGCAUGCAAAAGUGGAUGCUCCAGACUACAGAGGAUGAAUCAAGCCGCAUGCAUGCAUGCAUGCAUAGUUCACACACACAAGGCAAACCUGGAGGAGCCACAAGAUCCGAUGAUAAAACCCCUUCGCAUUGCAUGGAUGCUGCACGAUGCAUGCAUGCACUGAACGGACCGAUACCUCCAUAC
rnacentral:lncRNA from 1 species